UUUUUUUUUUAAGUGAAAAAUGGUAAUCUUACAUAUGUUUAAUGUAGUUUUUCUAUUUUUUGUGUUGUAUGUUUACAUAUUAUUUAUAAUUUUCAAAAAUUUGUAAUAUUUUAUGCCACGUGUCAUCUUUCGAGAGAAGUUUUUUUUGCUGAUGUGGACGCUCUAUGGAGCCUCAAAAGGUCCCUUUUAUUAGUAGAGAUUACAUUUUAAGAUAGAUGUUUAAAUACUAAUGUACUUUGUCCAUUUUUUAAAUUGUGUAUUUCCUUUUCUUUUACUUUCUA
rnacentral:lncRNA from 1 species